rnacentral:lncRNA from 1 species
ACAAUAUCUCUCCUCAACCAAGCUCAAUAAUAGAUAUAACCAACUCCUCAAAUAUAGUGAGUCUGCAUACACCUAUCCUGGCUGGGGUGAGCCUAGCUCAAAAAACGAGCCAGGUCAAGCAAUGCAACCAAUCAGACACAGAUCCCUUUGCCUUAUGGCCUGGGUUGGGCACGCAAGAUUGCAAUUCGUAAGCUCCCUUUUUCUCCCUCAGAUGUGGUGCUCCUAUCAUCAGUUACUCAAUGCUAGUAGUAGGACGAGAAGCCAAACGUGAUUUCAGAGACCCCAUCAUCCACCGAGCGGGCGUGGUAUACGAGGAGGAGCACGUACGCGUGUCCCGGGCACGCGACGCGGGCUGGCAAGCAGCAUCCAGCGCCCAGCAGCUAGCUUCAAGCCUGCCAUCUGUGUAGCUACAGGCUCGGCGCACGACCACGCGUCGCCCGAAGC